rnacentral:rRNA from 1 species
GGGCUUGCGUCCGAUUAGCUAGUUGGUGGGGUAAAGGCUUACCAAGGCGGCGAUCGGUAGCUGGUCUGAGAGGAUGAUCAGCCAGACGGGGACUGAGAUACGGCCCCGACUCCUACGGGAGGCAGCAGCAAGGAAUUUUGCGCAAUGGGCGAAAGCCUGACGCAGCGACGCCGCGUGGGGGAAGAAGGCCUUCGGGUUGUAAACCCCUUUUCUCGAGGAAGCGACGGUACUCGGGGAAUAAGUCUCGGCUAACUACGUGCCAGCAGCCGCGGUAAUACGUAGGAGGCAAACGUUAUCCGGAUUUACUGGGCGUAAAGGGGGCGCAGGCGGAACUCUAAGUCGAGUGUGAAAUCUCCUAACUCAAUUAGGAGGGGUCAUUCGAUACUAGGGAGCUUGAGGGCAGCAGAGGGAGGUGGAAUUCCCGGUGUAGCGGUG